CGGAUGCUCCUAGUGCUCACCGAGGGCUCCAAGCACUCCACCAGUCACCAUAACCACUGUAGAUUCCCACGAACCACCGCAGCUUGGUUGGGGUCUCACCAUCUUCCACCCACUCUGGACCCAAGACCAAGGUUCAGCUUCCAGUGGGUAGACCUCUCUUCAAUCCAGAGAACAGGAACAAGCUCUUACAAGAGCUUACUCUGGAGAGUAUAGGGAUUAUGGCAAUCCCCAGAGUGUAGGUAGUUCACCAAUCACCCAAACAUGAGCCAAGACUUCAUGAUGGGUAGAACAGGUUUUGUUUAAUGUAAGCCAGCAUUCCCAAUUUAUACAAUUCCUCAUGCCAGAGGCACACCCCCUGGACCUGAUGGUACACAUGCACACAAAGGACAUAAACCAAUCAAAUAUUAACACAAUGUAAAACCCUCCCACAGUAACAGUAAAAUCCCUCCCCUCUAUCCUGGAGAUAAUUAGCUUAAGUGGCUGUAGUAAACUUAUCUCCAGGUACAGAAAAUCUCUCUAAGUAAAAACUGUAACAAAAACACAUUAAAAUACAUAACCUAUUUCACCGAACGCAACCCCCACAUUCGACCUAUCUCCAGAUAGCUUGGAUCUGAGUGCUCAAUAUAUCCGAAUAGCGCUCAGAUCCCAUGAACACCGUCAAAUCUCCAUGGGGUUCAAGUGUCUAUGGAAGUCUCUUUUGACCGACCGCACGCAUGAUUUCAUGCCCAAAACAGUUCCAGAGAAUUUGGCUGUGCGGCCGGUCUAUUUCCAAUGUUUAAGUCAGUUCAAAUAGAUGAACGUCCACUGUUUGUGCAAACCGUCAAUGUAAGUGCCGUUCGAAGUGUCGAACAGCGUUCGACUCCAGUUGAAGUUCCAGAGAAGGUAAAGUUUAGCGUGUUCGUGCCGUCGCGUGUCCGAUUUGAGUUCCAUGAACUCGAUGACCAAACACAGCUGAACGUGUUUGACUGAAUUAAAAUGGCUGCCACCAUAUGUUCCUUCAUACGAAUGCCACCACCCAGCUGUUCGCCACUUUAGCAGCGGUUAACCACAGCUUCUGGGGGGUUAACAAGCCGCACACUCCACAGGGUGGGCGGUCGUUCGUCAAUUUGUUCGUCCGUUUGCACAAUAUCAUCCUGGCCAUAAUUGAAGUUAGAACUGCAAUAUAAUUAGUUUAGAUUAGUACAGUUCCUGAUUCAAUUAUCUCCCAAUCCCAGAGUAGGAAUUCUAUUGUUUGUGUAUGGGAAUGUCUCACUGUAUGACUGUUUUUAUUGGGUUGUUCACUUUGUGUCCCUGUGCCCAACAAGGUUCACCUGGGUGUCGCACUUGUUGGGAAACUUGCAUAAAAGGCCAGUGUGGCUCCAUUAAAAUGCUAUUCCAGCUUACACUCCAAAACUGUGUCAUUCUGUUAUUGGAGGGAAAGAAGAUUUACUUCUGUGUCUGCUGUUCCAGCAUGCAGGGGAUUCAACGGCG